UUUUGGUAUUUUCUUGACUCUUUUUGUCUUUGAAAAUCUGCAGAAAUAUGCUGAGGCGAUGUAUUGCAAAAUAGCCAACAUACAACAAUUAAAGGAUAAUUGCAGACUACAUCCUGAUGAAGAUAUGGAUGACCCUCUGUCUGGUCAACAGGAGUUUAAAUAUGGACGGGACAGUUAUGUGGCAGCUCUUCCCUGACUCAUUUGUGAAAGGAGGAAAGACUGGAGAGGGUCAAUGUGCAACUGAAGCUACUGAUUGUUCUGUGUGAUGAGCAUCAAUCCAUGCUUUGAGGGGGAUGAAUCAGCACAGCCCUGCCUGCUCUGCGUUGGGAACAGAAUUUUUGCAUCAUUCUGGACCAAAAAGCCAUUCCCUGCAUGAUGAAGACCACUGAUGCAGCCUUCCACUACAUCAUGAGUAAAACAACUACAGAACUAAAUACCAGGUUGGAACGUAUUUAAAAAAAUGAAACGUUGUUUGAAUUGAAAUGUCUGUUUUGUUAUGGAAAAAUCUUUAGUAUUGUGAAGGAUAAGCAUUUCUGCUUGCCAGUAAGGUAAUUGCGAUGUAUUUUAAUGUUCAAGUUUUGAGUAGGGUGGCUAAUUUUUUUUAACUCUCAUUUGAUUUAUUAAAGACUUUAUAAUAAGUGGUUUUCAUGUCACUGCGCUGUGGUAUAAGAUAACUUUCAUUAUUCCAUACUGUAUUCUGUUUCUAAUUGUAGCUGAGGUAUUUAAAUAAGCAGUGUUAAAUGCUAAGUGUUGUGUGUAUCAAUGUAAAUAUUAAAUGUUAUGUACUUUAAUAAAAAGAGGUUUUGCAAUA